rnacentral:rRNA from 1 species
CCUACGGGCGGCAGCAGUGGGGAAUAUUGGACAAUGGGCGAAAGCCUGAUCCAGCCAUGCCGCGUGUGUGAAGAAGGCCUUCGGGUUGUAAAGCACUUUCAGUGGGGAAGAAAGCCUUGGGGCUAAUACCCUCGAGGAAGGACAUCACCCACAGAAGAAGCACCGGCUAACUCCGUGCCAGCAGCCGCGGUAAUACGGAGGGUGCGAGCGUUAAUCGGAAUUACUGGGCGUAAAGCGCGCGUAGGCGGUCUGAUAAGCCGGUUGUGAAAGCCCCGGGCUCAACCUGGGAACGGCAUCCGGAACUGUCAGGCUAGAGUGCAGGAGAGGAAGGUAGAAUUCCCGGUGUAGCGGUGAAAUGCGUAGAGAUCGGGAGGAAUACCAGUGGCGAAGGCGGCCUUCUGGACUGACACUGACGCUGAGGUGCGAAAGCGUGGGUAGCAAACAGGAUUAGAUACCCGUGUAGU